rnacentral:rRNA from 1 species
UGGCGGCAUGCCUUACACAUGCAAGUCGAACGGCAGCAUGGAGAGCUUGCUCUCUGAUGGCGAGUGGCGAACGGGUGAGUAAUACAUCGGAACGUGUCCGUUUGUGGGGGACAACCGUCCGAAAGGAUGGCUAAUACCGCAUAAGACCUGAGGGUGAAAGCCGGGGACCGCAAGGCCCGGCGCAGACGGAGCGGCCGAUGAUUGAUUAGCUGGUUGGGGAGGUAAAGGCUCACCAAGGCGACGAUCAAUAGCUGGUCUGAGAGGACGACCAGCCACACUGGAACUGAGACACGGUCCAGACUCCUACGGGAGGCAGCAGUGGGGAAUUUUGGACAAUGGGGGCAACCCUGAUCCAGCCAUGCCGCGUGCGGGAAGAAGGCCUUCGGGUUGUAAACCGCUUUUGUCAGGGACGAAAAGCUCCGGAGUAAUAUGCCGGAGUGCUGACGGUACCUGAAGAAUAAGCACCGGCUAACUACGUGCCAGCAGCCGCGGUAAUACGUAGGGUGCGAGCGUUAAUCGGAAUUACUGGGCGUAAAGCGUGCGCAGGCGGUUGGGUAAGACAGAUGUGAAAUCCCCGGGCUUAACUGGGAACGCAUUUGUGACUG